UGAGACACGGCCCAAACUCCUACGGGAGGCAGCAGUAGGGAAUAUUGCACAAUGGAGGAAACUCUGAUGCAGCGAUGCCGCGUGAGUGAAGAAGGCCCUUGGGUUGUAAAGCUCUUUCGUCGGGGAAGAAAAUGACUGUACCCGAAUAAGAAGGUCCGGCUAACUUCGUGCCAGCAGCCGCGGUAAUACGAAGGGACCUAGCGUAGUUCGGAAUUACUGGGCUUAAAGAGUUCGUAGGUGGUUAAAAAAGUUGGUGGUGAAAUCCCAGAGCUUAACUCUGGAACUGCCAUCAAAACUUUUUAGCUAGAGUAUGAUAGAGGAAAGCAGAAUUUCUAGUGUAGAGGUGAAAUUCGUAGAUAUUAGAAAGAAUACCAAUUGCGAAGGCAGCUUUCUGGAUCAUUACUGACACUGAGGAACGAAAGCAUGGGUAGCGAAGAGGAUUAGAUACCCUCGUAGUCCAUGCCGUAAACGAUGUGUGUUAGACGUUGGAAAUUUAUUUUCAGUGUCGCAGCAAAAGCAGUAAACACACCGCCUGGGGAGUACGACCGCAAGGUUAAAACUCAAAUGAAUUGACGGGGACCCGCACAAGUAGUGGAGCAUGUGGUUUAAUUCGAAGAUACGCGCAGAACCUUACCAACACUUGACAUGUUCGUCGCGACUUUAAGAGAUUAAAGUUUUCGGUUCGGCCGGACGAAACACAGGUGCUGCAUGGCUGUCGUCAGCUCGUGUCGUGAGAUGUUGGGUUAAGUCCCGCAACGAGCGCAACCCUCACUUUUAGUUGCCAUCAUUUAGUUGGGCACUCUGAAAGAACUGCCAGUGAUAAGCUGGAGGAAGGUGGGGAUGACGUCAAGUCCUCAUGGCCCUUACGUGUUGGGCUACACACGUGCUACAAUGGCAUUUACAAUAGGAAGCAAGAUGGCGACGUCAAGCAAAUCCUAAAAAGAUGCCUCAGUUCGG
rnacentral:rRNA from 1 species